rfam:Candidate division KSB1 bacterium RBG_16_48_16 RBG_16_scaffold_185852, whole genome shotgun sequence.
CGUUCCGCAGGGUAACCUUCGGGAUGAUCAGGCAGAAGUCAGCCGAGGCCAUAGUAGCCUAACGCUCAGUGUAAUAACUGAGACAUGACGAAGGGC